AAUAUAUAGCGUGUUUUGCUUCGGCUUAAGAUACUUUCAUAUUUUUCUAUAAUAGCGAAUAAAAAUUUCUAUUAAUAAACUCAUAUUUUAUAAUAAUCAUUUUUUAACAGCAAGUUGUAGUUAAUGGAAAAAUAUGCGAAAUUCCCAGAGGUGUAGUAGAUGUUUCGACUUUGAUGGUUAUAAAUGGUCGUUGUCCUGAAUUUCCAACUACUUCCAACAACAAACCAACUAUUCGUAGCAAAAAACCAAUUAUUCCUAACGAAAAAAAGAUUGAUUCAAAAACCAAAAUUCCUGAAACAACAUAUUUGUAUCCACCAUUCACCCCAAGAUUGAAAGAAUUGAUCGCAGAAAUUGAGAAAACACCCGUACUUUUUCGCUUAGGUAAAAAUAAAAAUUAAAAAACUUAUAAGUAAUACAGGUAAAAAUAAAUAAUAAUUUUUUGUAUUUGGGCAAGAUCACGUCAACUGGACCCCCUAUUUUCC